rnacentral:misc_RNA from 1 species
UCUCUCUCUCUCUCUCCCCACCUCCCCCAUUUCUAUCUCACAUUGAUAAACUAAAUUCUUCAACCUCACCAACCAUUUGAAAUAAAAAUCAACAACAAAUUUUAAUUGACAGAAAUUCUUAUGACACAACUUGGGUAUUUUUGUUCUCUUUCUGAGUUGUUCACAAUAACAUAUGCUUUCUCUAUCUCAGCCAUUUUAGGAAAUAAGGUACUUAAACCAAUUCUAUAAUCAUGUUCCAAAAACAAAUCAUGUGGGAUUCAAUUGAAUUUCUUAUGUUAAAAUAUGCAUGAUAAAAAACAUGGAAAUUUAUUUGUCAUUAUGAAUUCUGAAAUCCAUUGGGAAAUCAAAUGGAUUCCUAAUAACUCCAGAUGCUUGGUUGGGUUGGUAAUCAAAGCAAGUAAAGAGAGAAAAAGCAGAGAAAAGAAAAUGAGGCUUAUAGGUAAAAAAACCUUUCCACCCUUUAGUGUACAAUCAAAUGGUUUGGAUCAUUAAAAUACAAAGGAAAAAUUGCAUGGUGAUCAAUUUAAUUUUGCUCGGGUUUUUCACUUGAUAACACAGAGAUCCAGAGGAGGCUAUGUAGGAGGAAGUGUUUGUGAGCCUUAGGAGGAUGUAGGUGGCCAUCAAGUAUUUCAGAAAGGGGAAUGGUGAAGGCUUGUGAGCUGUUGUGGAGGCCAAGGUGGUGGUGGUGGUGAAAUGGAGGAGGGCCGAGAAAGGAGGCUGGUUGUGGAGGAGGAGACAUGGAUGAAAGCACACCACCAAGGAAGGGAAGGGAAG